GUGGGGAAUAUUGCACAAUGGAGGAAACUCUGAUGCAGCGACGCCGCGUGAGUGAAGAAGUAUUUCGGUAUGUAAAGCUCUAUCAGCAGGGAAGAUAAUGACGGUACCUGACUAAGAAGCCCCGGCUAACUACGUGCCAGCAGCCGCGGUAAUACGUAGGGGGCAAGCGUUAUCCGGAUUUACUGGGUGUAAAGGGAGCGUAGGUGGCAUGGCAAGUCAGAAGUGAAAUGCGGGGGCUCAACCCCUGAACUGCUUUUGAAACUGUCAGGCUAGAGUGCUGGAGAGGUAAGUGGAAUUCCUAGUGUAGCGGUGAAAUGCGUAGAUAUUAGGAGGAACACCAGUGGCGAAGGCGGCUUACUGGACAGCAACUGACACUGAGGCUCGAAAGCGUGGGGAGCAAACAGG
rnacentral:rRNA from 1 species